UUGUUGGUAAGGUAAAAGCUUACCAAGGCUUCGAUCAGUAGCUGGUCUGAGAGGACGACCAGCCACACUGGGACUGAGACACGGCCCAGACUCCUACGGGAGGCAGCAGUGGGGAAUUUUGGACAAUGGGGGCAACCCUGAUCCAGCCAUGCCGCGUGAGUGAAGAAGGCCUUCGGGUUGUAAAGCUCUUUCAGCCGGAACGAAACGGUUACGGAUAAUACCCGUGACUACUGACGGUACCGGAAGAAGAAGCACCGGCUAACUACGUGCCAGCAGCCGCGGUAAUACGUAGGGUGCAAGCGUUAAUCGGAAUUACUGGGCGUAAAGCGUGCGCAGGUGGUUUUGUAAGUCAGAUGUGAAAGCCCCGGGCUCAACCUGGGAACUGCGUUUGAAACUACAAGACUAGAGUGUGGCAGAGGGGGGUGGAAUUCCGCGUGUAGCAGUGAAAUGCGUAGAGAUGUGGAGGAACACCGAUGGCGAAGGCAGCCCCCUGGGUUAACACUGACACUCAGGCACGGAAGCAUGGGGAGCAAACAGGAUUAGAUACCCUGGUAGUCCAUGCCCUAAACGAUGUCAACUAGUUGUCGGGCCUUUACGGGCUUGGUAACGUAGCUAACGCGUGAAGUUGACCGCCUGGGGAGUACGAUCGCAAGAUUAAAACUCAAAUGAAUUGACGGGGACCCGCACAAGCGGUGGAUUAUGUGGAUUAAUUCGAUGCAACGCGAAAAACCUUACCUACCCUUGACAUGUAUCGAAGCCCGCAGAAAAGCGGGGGUGCCCGAAAGGGAACGAUAACACAGGUGCUGCAUGGCUGUCGUCAGCUCGUGUCGUGAGAUGUUGGGUUAAGUCCCGCAACGAGCGCAACCCUUGUCAUUAAUUGCCAUCAUUUAGUUGGGCACUUUAAUGAGACUGCCGG
rnacentral:rRNA from 1 species